CAAAUACCAACGUUAUUAUGCGUGGGUGGCGGGCGGCUUGUGCCGAAGAAGGAAAGGACAGAGGUGGUGGUUUAUCGCCCGCCCAAGGGGGACGAGUGGCCCCUGGGCCGGGCCGAAGGGGGGUUACGGGAGGCUCUGUUUCACGCCCCUUGGUUGGCUUGUCAUCCGGCGGUCCCUGGCUGGGCCGGGCAGCUCUGUCGUCAGGCGGGUUGGCACGGCCGGGCCGCGAAGACGAACCUGGAACUUCUUUCCCCUAAACUCGCCAGGUCCCCGUUCCCCCCCCCCCCGCCCCCCCGGUCUCCUCUUUCCAAGAAGUCCACUUGGGUUUGGCAGGUGACCCCUCUUCCUUAUGUCUUCCUAGCGUUCUGGCUCGGCCCGCCCCGCCCCGGAGGCCAUGGCUCAGCAGCUGGAAGCCAAGCUGAAUCCCCGCUCUCGGACCUCAUCGGGACGCCCGUGGGGGACAACUGCCAAGUGGCUGAGCCUGCAUCUGCUGUGCGCGUUCGUCCGCCUCGGUGCCGGGGACUCCUCGACAGGGUCCGACCGGAGCAGGUGCCAGCUGGGGAGCACUCGGGUUGGAGUCGAACUGAGGUCUUGGGAGAAGAUCACCACCGGCUCCUGGGCAGAACCCACUUCCCCCUCCAGUCGUAUGCUGGGCCGUCUGCUGCAGGACCCCCAUCUGUGAUGCCUUUUGUGGUCGGAAGGCCUGUGCUUCGCGGUGGACUGCCGCGGGUCCCAGAGCUGUCAAGCCGCCGGGAGGACCGCUUCCCUUCCCGCUCCGUCCUGGGGUUCGUCCGGAAGCCCGCAGGCCGCUCGCGACCCACCACUCCCCUGGGAAGAGGAAGCUCCAGGCCGGCACCUCCCGGAGCUGCGGAGGAGCCGGGCGGCCAGGAGAACCCGGAGAUCUUCCCGGGACGAACCGCAGGUGGCUGAGUACUGGAAGCUUCAGCCCAGGGACCUCCCCAGGGACCCUAGACCUGCAGGGGGCUCCAAAUCAGGCGAGCCAGAACCAGCCAGUGAGCUCCGGGUCCCCGACGCCAGAGCCGAGGACCCUCGGGCCCCAAGGGAGAACCCCGUCCCCAAACAGUGAAGUCUCGAGCGCCCCCAGACCCUUCGU
rnacentral:lncRNA from 1 species